AGUGGGUGAAGCAUUAGCUUGGGAGCACUCCGAAGCCACAGCUGGGUCACCGUUUUACGGUUGCCUUGCCGGGUUUACAGGCUGUGGUGCAUAAGAACCCCUCACGAGUACUCCCCUGAAGACUAGGGAGGAGUAAGCUAGGUUGGGUUUUGGUG